AGCAGCCGCGGUAAUUCCAGCUCCAAUAGCGUAUAUUAAAGUUGUUGCAGUUAAAAAGCUCGUAGUUGAACCUUAGGCCCGUGCGGGUGGUCCGUCCUCUGGGCGAGCACUGCGUCGUCGCGGGUCUCACCUUCUGGCGAGCGUGGAUGCCAUUCACUUGGUGUCCGCGGGAACCAGGACCUUUACCUUGAAAAAAUUAGAGUGCUCAAAGCGGGCUCGUACGCUUGAAUACAUUAGCAUGGAAUAAUGAAAUAGGACGACGGUUCUAUUUUGUUGGUUUCCGGGACAGUCGUAAUGAUUAAUAGGGAUAGUUGGGG
rnacentral:rRNA from 1 species